GAUGAACGCUAGCUACAGGCUUAACACAUGCAAGUCGAGGGGCAGCAUUUCAGUUUGCUUGCAAACUGGAGAUGGCGACCGGCGCACGGGUGAGUAACACGUAUCCAACCUGCCGAUAACUCGGGGAUAGCCUUUCGAAAGAAAGAUUAAUACCCGAUGGCAUAAUUAGACCGCAUGGUCUUAUUAUUAAAGAAUUUCGGUUAUCGAUGGGGAUGCGUUCCAUUAGGCAGUUGGUGAGGUAACGGCUCACCAAACCUUCGAUGGAUAGGGGUUCUGAGAGGAAGGUCCCCCACAUUGGAACUGAGACACGGUCCAAACUCCUACGGGAGGCAGCAGUGAGGAAUAUUGGUCAAUGGGCGCAGGCCUGAACCAGCCAAGUAGCGUGAAGGAUGACUGCCCUAUGGGUUGUAAACUUCUUUUAUAUGGGAAUAAAGUUUUCCACGUGUGGAAUUUUGUAUGUACCAUAUGAAUAAGGAUCGGCUAACUCCGUGCCAGCAGCCGCGGUAAUACGGAGGAUCCGAGCGUUAUCCGGAUUUAUUGGGUUUAAAGGGAGCGUAGGUGGACAGUUAAGUCAGUUGUGAAAGUUUGCGGCUCAACCGUAAAAUUGCAGUUGAUACUGGCUGUCUUGAGUACAGUAGAGGUGGGCGGAAUUCGUGGUGUAGCGGUGAAAUGCUUAGAUAUCACGAAGAACUCCGAUUGCGAAGGCAGCUCACUGGACUGCAACUGACACUGAUGCUCGAAAGUGUGGGUAUCAAACAGGAUUAGAUACCCUGGUAGUCCACACAGUAAACGAUGAAUACUCGCUGUUUGCGAUAUACAGUAAGCGGCCAAGCGAAAGCAUUAAGUAUUCCACCUGGGGAGUACGCCGGCAACGGUGAAACUCAAAGGAAUUGACGGGGGCCCGCACAAGCGGAGGAACAUGUGGUUUAAUUCGAUGAUACGCGAGGAACCUUACCCGGGCUUAAAUUGCAUUUGAAUAUAUUGGAAACAGUAUAGCCGUAAGGCAAAUGUGAAGGUGCUGCAUGGUUGUCGUCAGCUCGUGCCGUGAGGUGUCGGCUUAAGUGCCAUAACGAGCGCAACCCUUAUCUUUAGUUACUAACAGGUCAUGCUGAGGACUCUAGAGAGACUGCCGUCGUAAGAUGUGAGGAAGGUGGGGAUGACGUCAAAUCAGCACGGCCCUUACGUCCGGGGCUACACACGUGUUACAAUGGGGGGUACAGAAGGCAGCUACCUGGUGACAGGAUGCUAAUUCCCAAAAGCCUCUCUCAGUUCGGAUCGAAGUUCUGCAACCCGACUUCGUGAAGCUGGAUUUCGCUAGUAAUCGCGCAUCAGCCAUGGCGCGGUGAAUACGUUCCCGGGCCU
rnacentral:rRNA from 1 species